rnacentral:rRNA from 1 species
AUUGAACGCUGGCGGCAGGCCUAACACAUGCAAGUCGAGCGGAGCGGCGGACGGGUGAGUAAUGCCUAGGAAUCUGCCUGGUAGUGGGGGAUAACUUCCGGAAACGGGAGCUAAUACCGCAUACUAUCAGAUGAGCCUAGGUCGGAUUAGCUAGUUGGUGGGGUAAAGGCCUACCAAGGCGACGAACCGUAACUGGUCUGAGAGGAUGAUCAGUCACACUGGAACGGAGACACGGUCCAGGCUCCUGUGGGAGGCAGCAUUGGGGAAUAUGGGACAAUGGGCGAAAGCCUGAUCCAGCCAUGCCGCGUGUGUGAAGAAGGUCUUCGGAUUGUAAAGCACUUGAAUUUGGGAGGCGUUACCAACAGAAUAAGCACCGGCUAACUUCGUGCCAGCAGCCGCGGUAAUAC